rnacentral:rRNA from 1 species
AGUCGAGCGGUAACGGGGUAGCUUGCUACCCGCUGACGANNNNNNGACGGGUGAGUAAUGCAUAGGAAUCUGCCCGAUAGUGGGGGAUAACCUGGGGAAACCCAGGCUAAUACCGCAUACGUCCUACGGGAGAAAGGGGGCUCCGGCUCCCGCUAUUGGAUGAGCCUAUGUCGGAUUAGCUAGUUGGUGAGGUAAUGGCUCACCAAGGCAACGAUCCGUAGCUGGUCUGAGAGGAUGAUCAGCCACAUCGGGACUGAGACACGGCCCGAACUCCUACGGGAGGCAGCAGUGGGGAAUAUUGGACAAUGGGCGAAAGCCUGAUCCAGCCAUGCCGCGUGUGUGAAGAAGGCCUUCGGGUUGUAAAGCACUUUCAGCGAGGAAGAACGCCUAGUGGUUAAUACCCAUUAGGAAAGACAUCACUCGCAGAAGAAGCACCGGCUAACUCCGUGCCAGCAGCCGCGGUAAUACGGAGGGUGCAAGCGUUAAUCGGAAUUACUGGGCGUAAAGCGCGCGUAGGUGGCUUGAUAAGCCGGUUGUGAAAGCCCCGGGCUCAACCUGGGAACGGCAUCCGGAACUGUCAAGCUAGAGUGCAGGAGAGGAAGGUAGAAUUCCCGGUGUAGCGGUGAAAUGCGUAGAGAUCGGGAGGAAUACCAGUGGCGAAGGCGGCCUUCUGGACUGACACUGACACUGAGGUGCGGAAGCGUGGGUAGCAAACAGGAUUAGAUACCCUGGUAGUCCACGCCGUAAACGAUGUCGACCAGCCGUUGGGUGCCUAGCGCACUUUGUGGCGAAGUUAACGCGAUAAGUCGACCGCCUGGGGAGUACGGCCGCAAGGUUAAAACUCAAAUGAAUUGACGGGGGCCCGCACAAGCGGUGGAGCAUGUGNUNUNAUUCGAUGCAACGCGAAGAACCUUACCUACUCUUGACAUCCUGCGANCUUGUGAGAGAUCACUUGGUGCCUUCGGGAACGCAGNNNCAGGUGCUGCAUGGCUGUCGUNNNNNNNNNUUGUGAAA